AUUCCAAAUCUUGCCCAUAUGUGCUUGACUAAAUCUGCUUGCAAUUCAUGAUGGACACUUGAAUCACGCAACUCGGAUCUAGCACGCACAUGAUUUGUAAACGCAUGUAACACCUCCGUUGAGAAUGGUUCCAGUGUACUAUACCCGCUUGCCUUAGAUUGAUAGUUGUUGGGAUUUGGAUAGUGAAAUUGGUAAUUAGUGGAAUUUUGGGUGUUAAAAGGGUUAUUGUUAGGAUCCAUUUCAC